UACGUAGGGGGCUAGCGCUGUCCGGAAUCAUUGGGCGUAAAGAGCGUGUAGGCGGCCCGGUAAGUCCGCUGUAAAAGUCAAAGGCUCAACCUUUGAAUGUCAGUGGAUACUGCCGGGCUAGAGUCCGGAAGAGGCGAGUGGAACUCCUGGUGUAGCGGUGGAAUGCGCAGAUAUCAGGAAGAACACCAACGGCGAAGGCAGCUCGCUGGGACGGUACUGACGCUGAGACGCGAAAGCGUGGGGAGCGAACAGG
rnacentral:rRNA from 1 species